rnacentral:snoRNA from 1 species
UUGGAAGUGAUGACAAUUUCCCCAAAUGAUCGAAUCUGAUUAUAAGAAGCGAAUUUUAUUUCCUUUCAACAGAGGAAA